ACUUUCCAAGCAUAAGAAUUAUUCUGAACAAAACAAGAAGAACCAGCAUUCCAUGAACAUGGAAUUCUGAUACGCCAUGGUAUGUUCAGGAAAGCAUAUCUGCCUCAUACCUAAAGUACACCAAGCACCAGACGGGAGAUCGCUCAGUGACUCACAGCCGUGAUAAUACACAUGAGACCUAUCUAAAAAUCCUGUUUUCAAUCCCACCAUUUAUUUUUGUAUCAAAAUUCUGAUGUGCAGUUUGAAUUAAGAAAACCUGCACUUUGGAAAGUAGAUAAGAACCCUGAUGAUCUUCCAAAAAAUUAUGUAUUUAUAGGUCAUUCAAAGGGACGAUCAGAUGAGUUAUAGUCUUAAAAAUUUUACAUACAGGUUAGAAACAUCUGAGC
rnacentral:lncRNA from 1 species